ACCAAUUGGAGAUCACCAUCGCGUGACGUAACCAUUAACCAAUCAACGCCUAGCUUUCAUAUAGCGAAAACGAAAGUAGAAGUCGAAAGUUUCUAUUUUUAUCGCUGGAAUUUCCGAAUUUUUAGUGCGUAAUUUUUACAACGUGUAAUUCUCACACACACCGUCUGUGAAAUCGCCAUGUCAAGAUCGUGAAAGUAUUUCAUUGUUUUGUUUGAUUUGUUUGCCAAUAUCUCGCCCUAGACCUUACGUGAAAAGAUCUCAUCACCAACAUUAAAUAUUUGGUUUACUGUAACUGUACAAAAUGGCAGAGUUGACAGUUUCCACGCCGAAGAAACAUCAUUUGCAAGAUCGAUGUGUUUUGUGUGGGAUGGUGUUUUGUAAUGUUGAAAUAACGCCUUCUGGCAGAAAAAUAAAAACGAGCGUGAACAUGAACAAAAAAUUGAAAAUAACGAAACAAACAGUUGAUGAUCUGCAUUUAGUUAUUGAUAUGGACCUGACCUCAACAGAUGCUACUGGGAUUUGCAUUAAGUGCAAUCGACUGGUGAAAGGGGUAGUUGAAAAAUUGCAAAUUAUUAAACAGACCCUCAACGAAUCCAUUGGUUAUAGUCGUAAAUUAACUGUGAAACGUCUGCUGUGGUCCCCUUCAAGUUCCAGUACAACACAACAACCUAUGAAAAAAGUAUUCAGUCCUAAAGUGCAACUGUGGCCUAAAACAAAAUUGAAGAGUGCAUCGGAGUUACAGACGGAGCUGGGCUUUAAACCCUGGAAAUCAUGAUUUUGAAACCUCUGGACCACUGCAACCCCCUUUCCAACAAGACCAUGAUUAUCAGUCCAUAUGGAAAAUCAGGCAAUGUUCUGCAAGAGCCGUCGGGCAACACAUGUACACAGCUUUCAACUGGUGAUAAUGCAGGUGUGUAAAGUUUUGCACAAAGAGAUGCAAUAGUUAAAUGUUCGUAGAAUGUUUUAAGUGUGCAUGGAAGUCAUUGAGUCUUUUGUGUAAGAAGAUAGAC